UAAUCAAACCUAAACCACAAUUACGGAUGGCCGGUUCAAUUGGCUGUAUAAUUAAUUCUAACCCACUAAAUAUUGCGCACUACCUAAUGGAUUAAAAUAAUUAAUAUCGAUAAACACAGAGAAUCACAGAUACAAGCAUAAAAUAAAGUAUAAGAACAAAUUAAAUCUCAUAGAAUAAUCUUGCUAGUGCUUUCCUAAUCGCUGCUGGAAUAAACGAAAUUUGCUAAAACUCAUAAGAAAAUAAAACAAGAAAAAUAAAAAUAAUAAAUUGCGAAGAAUAAAAGAAAAGAAAAAAACUUGAAUUAAUUUGCUGAAAAAUCACGUCCCAGCUGCUCUGUUCCAAGUUAGCGUGAACAAAAGGUAUAUAUAUAAAAAAAACUAACUAACCUAAUCUAAUAACUAAAGUGGCGUAAAGCCCUAAGUAAUAAAGGCCUAAUCUAAUCUAAUGGAAUUGAAAAG
rnacentral:lncRNA from 1 species